CCCACCAGGAGCGGCUCCACCCCGGCCCCAGGCCGAGAGAGCGCGCGGCCGCAGCGGGAAGCCAAACAAGAAAGGGCCCCUGCUCCCGCCGGAGCGGGAGUCGUGGGACGGUCAGGGUGUCCUUAGGAAAGGUUUUGCAGCUCUCCAGGAGUGCUCUUGGCCAGGAACGGGAGCUGACAGGCGUCUUGGAAGGACGAAGGACCCGUCACGACCGUUGGAAAGCUGCCUGUGAAGAGAGGAGCUACCAUGACAUGAGCAGGCUGGGCAGCUAGGUCCUGAGCAACCGUUUAAGAAGCCUAGAAGAGAUCUGGGGAAGGCCUCUAGGAGCUGAGCGUGACCAUACUCACAGCCAGCAAGGAAGGAAGCCUUUGUCCUACAACCUAGGAGGAUUGGAUAUGGCCAACAACCAGAAUGAGCUUGGAAGAGGACUCUGGGUAUCAGAUUAGAGCACAGCCCCAGCUAGAAAUAAGGCCUUGAUUCUAGCCUUCUGAGACCCUGAUCCAAGCACCCAGUUGUCCUGUUCCUUGACUUAGUGGACUGUGAGACAAUAAAUGUGACUUAUUUUAAGCUGUGAA